CUUAGUCACAAUAUUGCAGUAAUAUAUUUCUAGUUCAGCACUCUCUUGCAUUAACUAGACGUUUAUCUGAGAUUUCCAUACUAAUUACGCUCAAAUCGAAGAACGGAAAUGACAAAAAAGAUCAUGUUAAUAUUAUCAAUUUUCUUAAUCGUUGGCCUCUACACUAAUGCAGCUGAGGGAUGCCAGGACAAAGCGUGUCACCCAUUAAAGGGUAAGGAUUGUUGUGAAGGUUACGAAUGCAGUACAUGGUAUCUGGAAGGUACUUGUGUUGUAGAUGACAACCAGGGGUUCGAUGGCGUUUUGAUUAAUGGCGGCCAUAUCCAUUGAAACGCUUAGAAGUGGAAAAAAUUACAUUCAGGCCCUUGGUUACAAUCCCGUUAUCGACAGAUUUUAUUUUUAUGACUAAAUGGAUUCAGUGUUACUAGAUUUUUGAUUGUGUCCUAACUAAAUAAACAAUGUCAUUUUUAUGGAC